UGUGAAAUAAUUGGCAUUAAACCCCCAUGACACGAGCUUACCUAUAUAGCAAACCUGCACAUGCACUCCUGAACCUCAAGUAAAAGUUAAAA